AAAAACACACACACACACACACACACACACACACACACACACACAACUUGCUGCCUGGGACCUCUACCGAGUUCAACGGGGAACCCAAAAAUAGCAUGACAGUGACAGGGAGCGAUGGGAGCUUACAAGAAGCAACGGCUACCAGGGGCCAAACAGCCAACGGAACACAUGAAGGAAUGUUAUCCAAUAGAAGAUUCUGGCCUCGGAAUAUACUUCGAGUUUAAUGCUAGAUGCGAAGAAGUUCACACCAGCAGUGGAGAGCAGAGUACCUGAGGCAGAACAAUAACAAGCAUCCCGAACUGUGGCUUGAGCUUGCUUGCUGGAAAGAAGAGGACAACUAUUUCCAGUGUUCCUGAUUAAAAUUUAUAAUAUAAUUUUCCAAAAAGGCAAUCAAAUAAGCAAUGAUUAGUUUCUUUGAAUUGCCCACAAUGUAGUUGAAAUAAUGCCUUUUAUGCAACAGAAUUAUUUUCAGCAAUUGUGUCUUUUCACUGCAAAUGUAUUUCAGAUACAGUAUGAGUCAAAUAGUCUUUUGUGGAACCAGGCUGAGGAACUAGUCCCAAUUUAUAACAUUGCUUUUAUAGAAAACAUGUAUUUGGUUCCAAACAACCAAAUAAAAAUGCUUCGGGGAGAAUAUGCAGUUCUUUUAUAGAUUGGGAACAGCCUACAAUGAGGUUUAUUAUGAUGAUAAAAUUAAGCAAAAUUAAAAGCUGUUUUACUAAAAGGGAAUAAA